GGAGUCUAGCAUGUGCGCGAGUCAUUGGGACCGACGCGCGCGCGGCGUCCUCGCGGCGCCGUCGUCGCGCGUUCGAAUUAACUAAACCCAAAGGCGAAGUGAAAGCGAAAGCGCGCCUUCGUGCGCGCCGAGGGAGGAUGGACGUCGCCCCUCUUCACGGAGGGCAACGACGUCCCGCACUCCCGGGGCGUCUCGUUCUCAUCGCGAGAAGAGGCGCACCCAGAGCGUACGCGCUGGGACCCGAAAGAUGGUGAACUAUGCCUGGUCAGGACGAAGUCAGGGGAAACCCUGAUGGAGGUCCGUAGCGAUUCUGACGUGCAAAUCGAUCGUCGGAACUGGGUAUAGGGGCGAAAGACUAAUCGAACCAUCUAGUAGCUGGUUCCCUCCGAAGUUUCCCUCAGGAUAGCUGGCGCUCGUAGCGCGCGAGUCUCAUCCGGUAAAGCGAAUGAUUAGAGGCAUUGGGGUCGAAACGGCCUCAACCUAUUCUCAAACUUUAAAUGGGUGAGAUCUCCGGCUUGCUUGCACGCGCGGAGAGGCGCGUUCGCGCGUCUUCUCUCGCCUGAAGCCGCGAGAUCGGAUCGAGAGUGCCAAGUGGGCCACUUUUGGUAAGCAGAACUGGCGCUGUGGGAUGAACCAAACGCGGAGUUAAAGCGCCUAAAUCGACGCUUAUGGGAUACCAUGAAAGGCGUUGGUAACUUAAGACAGCAGGACGGUGGCCAUGGAA
rnacentral:rRNA from 1 species